CCUACGGGUGGCUGCAGUGAGGAAUAUUGGACAAUGGGCGAGAGCCUGAACCAGCCAAGUCGCGUAAGGGAAGACGGUCCUAUGGAUUGUAAACCUCUUUUGUCGGGGAGCAAAAAGGCCUCGUGAGGCCACAAGUGAGAGUACCCGAAGCAAAAUCAUCGGCUAACUCCGUGCGAGCAGCCGCGGUAAUACGGAGGAUGAGAGUGUUAUCCGGAUUUAUGGGGUUUAAAGGGUGCGUAGGCGGACUGGAAAGUCAGCGGUAAAAUCGAGAGGCUCAACCUCUUUCCGACGUUGAAACUGUCGGUCUUGAGUGGGCGAGAAGUAUGCGGAAUGCGUGGUGUAGCGGUGGAAUGCAUAGAUAUCACGCGGAACUCCGAUUGCGAAGGCAGGAUACUGGCGUCCGACUGACGCUGAGGCACGAAAGCGUGGGGAUCGAACAGGAUUAGAUACCCUAGUAGUC
rnacentral:rRNA from 1 species